GAUGAACGCUGGCGGCGUGCCUAACACAUGCAAGUCGAGCGAACAGACGAGGAGCUUGCUCCUCUGACGUUAGCGGCGGACGGGUGAGUAACACGUGGAUCACCUACCUAUCUGACUGGGAUAACUUCGGGAAACCGGAGCUAAUACCGGAUAAUAUAUUGAACCGCAUGGUUCAAUAGUGAAAGACGGUGUUGCUGUCACUUAUAGAUGGAUCCGCGCCGCAUUAGCUAGUUGGGAAGGUAACGGCUUACCAAGGCGACGAUGCGUAGGCGAACUGAGGGGGUGAUCGGCCACACUGGAAGUGAGACAGCGUCCAUACUCCUACGGGAGGCAGCAGUAGGGAAUCGGCCGCAAUGGGCGAAAGCUUGACGGAGCGACGCCGCGUGAGUGAUGAAGGUCUUCGGAUCGGAAAACUCGGUUAUUAGUGAAGAACAGAUGUGUAAGGAACUAUGCACGGCUUGACGGUACCGAAUCAGAAAGCCACGGCUAACUACGUG
rnacentral:rRNA from 1 species